rnacentral:tRNA from 1 species
CCCUCCAUAGUUCAGCGGUAGAACGCUCGGCUGUAGACCGAGAGAUCCCCGGUUCAAAUCCGGGUGGGGGGA